CCAUAAAAACAAACCAUUUUUCCACUCAAGUAUAGGCGAUAGAAAAAGAUCUAGGCGCGAUAGAAAAAGUACCGCAAGGGAACGCUGAAAGAGAAAUGAAAAAACCCAGUAAAGCACAAAAAAGCAGAGAUUCUUCCUCGUACCUUUUGCAUCAUGUUUUAGCUAGAGCCCUUCAAGCAAAAAGCACUUUAGUUUGAGUACCCGAAACUGGGUGAGCUACUCCAAGACAGCCUAAUAAAUAGGGCUAACCCGUCUCUGUGGCAAAAGAGUGGGGAGAGCUUUGAGUAGAGGUGACAAACCUACCGAACCCAGUCAUAGCUGGUUACCUGAGAAACGAAUAGAAGUUCAGCCCCUCAAUUUCUUACACCCCGACUGACACGUCUACAUACAGGCACAAAGAAACCCAGGGAGUUAGUCAAAGGGGGUACAGCCCCUUUGAAACAAGACACAACUUUAACAGGUGGUUAAGGAUCAAAUUCAAUAAAGGUUAAAUAUUUACGUGGGCCUAAGAGCAGCCACCAUGAAAGAAAGCGUUAAAGCUCUAAUAUGACACAAACCCUUAAUUCUGAUCACCAAUCCUACGCCCCUACCUGUAUCAGGUCUUCCCACAGCAUCCGUGGGAGUGAUUAUGCUAGUAUGAGUAAUAAGAGAGCCUUAACUCUCUCCCCGCAUAAGUGUAAAUCGGAACGGACCCCCCGCCGAACAUUAACGCCCCCCAAAAAAGAGGGUACUGGGCUAAAAAUAAAAAACAAGAAAACCGCCCAAAAAACAUCGUUAACCCCACACUGGUGCGCCUACAUGGAAAGACUAAAAGAAAAAGAAGGAACUCGGCAAAGUUAACUAAAGCCUCGCCUGUUUACCAAAAACAUCGCCUCCUGCCCCCACAUAAGUAUAGGAGGUCCCGCCUGCCCUGUGACUAUUAGUUUAACGGCCGCGGUAUUUUGACCGUGCGAAGGUAGC
rnacentral:rRNA from 1 species